AGAUGUAGGGCCAGCUGACUGGCACACCUGUCACCCUUAGUGAUCACCAAAGUUGAUCUGGCUGACAAGGCAGGUGACCCCCUCCAUCCCACCACUCCACGUGUGUGCCUUCCUUUCUGCUUUUGCACGCUCUUGGUUCC
rnacentral:snRNA from 1 species